UUCAAAGUGGACUGGCUCACCUCUGUUUCAUCUGGCAACCCUAGGCAAGGGAUAACACGAGAGUCUGGACUCCCUCCCCAGCGGGCUGUAUGGCAGCCACCCACAGCCUGAGUUGCCUCUGGCGAGCGCUUGCACUCCGUGGGACUACGGAAAUCAAGACAGAAAUGACCAGAAGUCCAGCCUGCCCUUCCGGCUGCCGAUACGGCCCGACCCUCCCUGCUGGGCUGGCCUGGAAGCACCAGCCCUGGCCCAUGGGUGGAUUGAGAUGAAGCAUGUCUACUGAUGGGCGUGGACCUGGGCUAACACGGUUUUGCCCCCAGAUAAGAUGGCCUUGUCACGCAGGGGUGCCUGUGGACACAGCAGCGAGGACAGCUCGCAAGUCCCAGAGAGGCCCAGGCGAGGUCUGCGAGGACUGUCUUCCCCCGCCGGCUGGUCUGGUGGCGCAGGCAGACCAGGCCUGGAGCAGGCGGCAGGAUCAAGACAGCCCCUUCCCCCCUUCCCAGGGCUGCUAGGACGACCUGCCCACUUCCAGACAAGGCUGGCAGAGCCACGAGACGUCUGAUCCCAGAUGGAAAAUUGAAACCACGCUGCUCCGUCGCUACAGCCAUUUGUCACUGGACGAGGGUGCAUAUAAACAGCUUAAUUCAAACCACACUGCCACCCCCUCCACUCCCGCCUUUCCGGAAGCUUUCCCUUGGCUGGCUUUAAGUGGUCUGGAAUCGAGCCAGCAAUAUCUCUGAGGUUCGGCUGUAUUAUACUCUGCUUCUCAGCCGUCUACCUGCUGGAGCUGCCUGGAUGUCCGGGAAGCAGGGGAACACCGCAGACAAGGAUGCCCAGGUGUGAGUAAACUGAGGCUCAGCGAGGUGAACUGCCAUCCUGAGAGGGAACGAGAACCCUUGGCCGACUCCAGCCGCCCUGGGCCUCGCGCUGCUCACAGCAUCGUCCCCCCAGCCCCGUGCCACCUGGGACCUGGCCACCAAGGUGUGGCCACCAUCGGUGACGUGAGUACAUGAAGCAGCAGAAGUGGGUCUUCCUGGAGUUCUGUGAGCUGCUUCUGGAUGACCAGGUGAGUUGGAAGUCAGCCAGCUUCUCAUUAUUAUCAAUAAUAUUGUCAUUGUUAUUAAAUAGCGUUAGUAAUGUCCCACAUAAAACACUCUUGUGCGCCACCCGUGGGUCCCUGCGCAGCCUCUCCCUGUCGUCGCCUGGGUCCCUUCCCUCUCUCCUCUUCCAGGUGGUGAUGGAGACCGUGGUGGGCAUGUCCCUGUCAUUAACCCAUCUCCGUUGCCCCUGGAUUUGCAUUAAAGCUCAUGGGGAAAAGGUCAAGUGAGUUUAUAUCCUGAGCCAGGGAAUGUGAUGCUGUGGGACACACAUCCCCGACACUCAGAGAGCAGAGUCUGAAUAUCCGAGGAAGCCCACAAGUGCCCGGUUGGGCCUGGCACCUGCACACAUGCUGAGCACAACAACACAGAGGCUUCCGGCGUGGGGGCGGGCGCAGCUCCGGGAAAUCCACAGCCAUUGCUCAAGUCUGAGGGAGGCGCGAAUCAGCCUGCAGACAAGGGUGAGGUUCAUCUGGCGUAUACUUGCGGUUCAAACCCUGAACUGAAAAUAUUAUCGAAAAAACCUCGGUGAAGGUUUUAUUGUUCUCGACUCCUCUGUUUAUUCAAGAAGUUAUUAUUAUUUUUUUUUUACUGUUUUUACUUUAAAAAAUAAAAACAGAGAAGGAUCUAGGUUAGAAAAAAGUGCUUUUAUUCUAGCCAAAACGCCCGUGGGGAAUCCCUCCUUUCUCCCUACCUGUGAGAACCUGGGCACAUCCUGUAACCUUGAUGAAACUCAGUUGUUUUGGUCUAUAAAAUGGGUAUACUGUUACCUGCCUGAAGGUCGUAGGGAAAAUGCAAUCAGAUCAUGUAUAGGAAGGCAUUUUGGAAACUGGAAACGUCAAAACUGUGUCCUGGCGAUCAUUACUAUUCUUUAACCUUGCACUUGGAGCUCUUCUUGGAACUCAAGCAAGUUCUACCAGCCUGGGGACGGUGCUAGUUUGUCAGAGGGCUGGUUGCUGCCUGUGAGCCUCAGCUUCCUGGUGCCCACGGGCCUGUCGACCUGUGGCUAGAUGGCACGUCGAGCUUGGCCGUCCCAUGCCGGGCACCUGCUCGGGAGAGGAUUUCAGGGCUGGUGCGCCUGUGGACUCAGGAGGGCACUGUGUCUCGAAUGAGCCGGAGCUUGUGUACCCAGAGGACCAUGUCCGCUUCAAAGUGGGCCCCGGCCACCUCCGCACUGAUUUGAUGAUGUCUCCGGACCUUAAGACAGGCCUGCCACUUAGGGGAAGUGGCUUCAGAGCUGGGUGACCCCUUCCUCGGGGUGGCUGGGAAGCAGCCAGGGUCACUGCAGGGCGGCAGGUCAGCGAGGACCGCCCUGCGCUGCCGCAGGUCUCACCAAACUCCAGCAGCAGCCGGGAUGCUAGCUCUGCAGGACUGCUGCUCUCCCCUGCCACGUGACACCGCCGAAGGGCCCCCCCCCCCCCACUGACCGACGCGUUUCCUGCUUAAAUAAUCGGCCUUUUCUUGCCUUUUCCUUCGGCCUGUAUGAGCCGUGUCACCGUCCAGGCUUGUCUCGUUAAGCCACAGGCAGUCCUCAGAAUGAGGAGGCUCUAAACACCCUUCUAAAGUAGACGGCAAGCGGCUCAACUCAGUAGCCUUCUUUCUGGGUCAGGUACUCAAAAACACUGUUUAUUCUACAAACCUAUGAGGACUUAAAAAUUGAGAUUUUCUGAAAGGCUCGUCACCUCAGCAAAUCCAAAUGCUCUCCUUGCUCUCUGUUCCCCUCCUGUUUCGACUUUAUACAGACGUGCCUCUGUGCCCGUGCAUGUCAUCCUGACAUAGUGUAACCGAGGGUUGUCCUCUUCACUCACACAAGCGAAAUACGUUUCAACGUUGCCGAAUGGUUAAUACUUUGACUGCGCAGCUACCAUAGGGUAAUUAACGCUUCCCAUGUUGGCUGACAUCUAGACUUCGCUACUCAAAGUGUGGGCCACGGAGCAGCAGCAACAGCACCACCAGGAGUUGGUUAGAAAUGCAGAGUCUCAGGCCACACCCAGGACCUGCUGAAUCGGAAUCUAAAGUUUACCCGGAUGCAGGGAAUUUGUGUGUCCAUUAAAGUGUCAGUGUGUAAAAUGUUGGAUGUAUUUGGACAACACGGUGAUGUCCUCACGAGAAGAAGGCCUUGCAGGGCGUUCACUUCUGUGGGUUCUCGUGUGUAAACGACUCUUGAGAAGAACCUGGGGGCUUCAGGGACCCAAGUAGAUGUAAGUGCUUGCUCCCAGCUCAUCUCCAGUCAGCCUGCAAAGUCAUGCUCCUUUGGGAUGUUCCAGCACUGGAAAAGAAAUCACAACCAUAGAGCCCAGUGUCUCUUGCCCACCUGGGUGGAGAGAGGAGAUGACCAAAACAUGGGCCAGAUAUUUUUGGGAACGAUGGGCUGGCGCCACAGGAAGGGAGACGGCAUAACGGUGGCAACAGCGAGUUUCACGGGUUGGAAUUAAAUGUCAUCGCCGAUUCCUGCAGCUGUUUAGUCUUACCCGGAGCCGCUGUGUUUGCGUUACUUGGAAAACGUGUGGUGACCACGUGACCUGCAACCAGGUCGCCGUUCCUGUGGCGCCAUCUUUAAAGCUCUGGGAGGUCCACGUGGUCGGGAGCAGCUCGUCACCCUUGGUCUGGGGCUGGGUAGGAGCCUUCAUUUCUCCCUUCUUGACUCGUUCCACACGAUGUCCUCAAGGACGACAGUGAGAACGAGGAGAUGCAAUAAAAGAAGCAGCAUAAUUAAACCCCAAACGUGUCAUUUGGUUUGAACAUUGCUUCUUUAUCAAUUUGAGGUCUCAAGUACCUCCCCCCCAAAUUCCUCAAAACGAAGUGUGUGCCACUAAUGCUUGCAUUUGCAACGCCCAGAGCAGUGAUGCCGACCAUUAACUCUCUACCAGACCCACCACAGCACUCACCUCGGCUGGCGUUUUCAAGUGGUGUGCUGUUUCUUCGUGGUUUAGUCUUGGUAGGUUUCUGAUUCUAGGAAUUGAUCCUCUUCUUCUGGGUUAUCCAGUUUGCCGGCCCGUAAUUGUCUGUAGCGGUCUCUUGUGACCAUUCUUCUUCCUCUGGCAUCGGCUAUAAUGUCUAGUUUUUCAUCUCUAGUUUUAUUAAGUCUGCACAGAUCUAUAACUAAUACAGAGAUUGAGUCAGUGAUGAAAAAUCUCCCAACAAAGUAAAGUCCAGGAAUAGAUGGCUUCACUGGUAAAUUCCACCAAACAUUUAAGGAAGAAUUAAUGCCAUUCCUUCUCAAACUCUUUCAAAAAACUGAAAAGGUGGAAACACUUCCAAAGUGAUUUUAUGAGGCCAGCAUUACCCUGAUACCAAAGCCAGCGACACCACAAGAAAAAAACUACAGGCCAAUAUCCCUGAUGAACAUGGAUGCAAAAAU